rnacentral:rRNA from 1 species
CAGGUUGACACUUUGCGUAUUGCUGGUGGGGGAAGUCCCGGGAAUGGGUUUAAUACCGCAUGUGCUCCAAGGAGUAAAGAGGGCUUCGGCUCUUGCUUUGAGAUAGGCUCGCGUCCUAUCAGCUAGUUGGUGAGGUAACGGCUCACCAAGGCGACGACGGGUAGUUGGUCUGAGAGGACGACCAGCAACACUGGAACUGAGACACGGUCCAGACACCUACGGGUGGCAGCAGUCGAGAAUCAUUCACAAUGGGGGCAACCCUGAUGGUGCAACGCCGCGUGGAGGACGAAGGCCCUAGGGUCGUAAACUCCUGUCAUAAUAGAGUAAGGCAUACAAGUUAAGACCUUGUAUGUUUGAUAGUAUAUUAAGAGGAAGGGACGGCUAACUUCGUGCCAGCAGCCGCGGUAAUACGAAGGUCCCGAGCGUUAUUCGGAAUCACUGGGCGUAAAGGGAGCGUAGGCGGCGUGGUAAGUCAGAUGUGAAAGCCCGGGGCUCAACCCCGGAACUGCAUUCGAUACUGCCAUGCUAGAGUAGUGGAGAGGUAGAUGGAAUUUUGGGUGUAGCAGUGAAAUGCGUGGAUAUCCAAAGGAAGACUAAUGGCGAAGGCAAUCUACUGGACACUUACUGACGCUGAGGCUCGAAGGCUAGGGGAGCGAAAGGGAUUAGAUACCCCUGUAGUC